rnacentral:tRNA from 1 species
CGGAUGUAACCAAAUGGAUCAAGGCAGUGG